AUUGAACGCUGGCGGCAGGCCUAACACAUGCAAGUCGAGCGAGCGGGGGACGGGUGAGUACUGUCUGGGAAACUGCCUGAUGGAGGGGGCUAACUACUGGUAACAGUAGCUAAUACAGCAUACCACAAGAUCUGCCCAGAUGGGAUUAGCUAGUAGGUGGGGUAACGGCUCACCUAGGCGACGAUACCUAGCUGGUCUGAGAGGAGUACCAGCCACACUGGAACGGAGACACGGCCCAGACUCCUACGUGAGGCAGCAGUGGGGAAUAUUGAACAAUGGGCGCAAGCCUGAUGCAGCCAUGCCGCGUGUGUGAAGAAGGCCUUCGGGUUGUAAAGCACUUUCAGCGGGGAGGCGUUACCCGCAGAAGAAGCACCGGCUAACUCCGUGCCAGCAGCCGCGGUAAUAC
rnacentral:rRNA from 1 species